rnacentral:rRNA from 1 species
AUUGAACGCUGGCGGCAUGCUUUACACAUGCAAGUCGAGCGGUAACAGGCCUUCGGGUGCUGACGAGUGGCGAACGGGUGAGUAAUGCAUCGGAACGUACCCAGAGGUGGGGGAUAACGCAGCGAAAGCUGUGCUAAUACCGCAUGUGAUCUGAGGAUGAAAGCGGGGGACCGAGCAGCAAUGUUUGGCCUCGCGCCUUUGGAGCGGCCGAUGUCGGAUUAGCUAGUUGGCGGGGUAAAGGCCUACCAAGGCGACGAUCCGUAGCUGGUCUGAGAGGACGACCAGCCACACUGGGACUGAGACACGGCCCAGACUCCUACGGGAGGCAGCAGUGGGGAAUUUUGGACAAUGGGCGCAAGCCUGAUCCAGCAAUGCCGCGUGCGGGAAGAAGGCCUUCGGGUUGUAAACCGCUUUUGGCAGGAACGAAACGGUGUCCGCUAAUACCGGGCGCUAAUGACGGUACCUGCAGAAUAAGCACCGGCUAACUACGUG